rnacentral:rRNA from 1 species
GCGACCCCAGGNUGGGCGAGGCCACCCGCCGAGUUUAAG